UGAUGUGCCCAAGAUGUGCCUAGAAUAAAAGAAUACCUCGAUAUAUUGCGGAAUACGGAAUACCUACGAGAAUAAUUUCUUGUAAUGAAAGUACAUUAAAACUACCUGCUUAAACAUUUCAACGUAUAAAACAAAAUCAUGUUCAAAAAUCACAAAAUAAUCUUGAAUACAAAAGUAUUUUACACGGAGCCGCUGGUGUUGGGUCAGGAACAAUAAUAAUGCAAAUAUAAAACAAAGUCUGGAGUACACAUGGGAUAAGGUU